UGCGUAGGCAGCGAGCGUUGUUCGGAAUUACUGGGCGUAAAGAGUGUGUAGGCGGUGCUCCCAGUCUGUUGUGAAAUCUCCCGGCUUAACUGGGAGGGUGCAGCGGAAACUAGAGUGCUAGAGGGUGGGAGAGGUAAGCGGAAUUCCUGGUGUAGCGGUGAAAUGCGUAGAUAUCAGGAGGAACACCUGUGGUGUAGACAGCUUACUGGACCACUUCUGACGCUGAGACACGAAAGCGUGGGUAGCAAACAGG
rnacentral:rRNA from 1 species